rnacentral:rRNA from 1 species
AUUGAACGCUGGCGGCAGGCCUAACACAUGCAAGUCGAGCGGAUGAAGGGAGCUUGCUCCUGGAUUCAGCGGCGGACGGGUGAGUAAUGCCUAGGAAUCUGCCUGGUAGUGGGGGAUAACGUCCGGAAACGGGCGCUAAUACCGCAUACGUCCUGAGGGUGAAAGUGGGGGAUCUUCGGACCUCACGCUAUCUGAUGAGCCUAGGUCGGAUUAGCUAGUUGGUGGGGUAAAGGCCUACCAAGGCGACGAUCCGUAACUGGUCUGAGAGGAUGAUCAGUCACACUGGAACUGAGACACGGUCCAGACUCCUACGGGAUGCAGCAGUGGGGAAUAUUGGACAAUGGGCGAAAGCCUGAUCCAGCCAUGCCGCGUGUGUGAAGAAGGUCUUCGGAUUGUAAAGCACUUUAAGUUGGGAGGAAGGGCAGUAAGUUAAUACCUUGCUGUUUUGACGUUACCAACAGAAUAAGCACCGGCUAACUUCGUG